rnacentral:tRNA from 1 species
GGAUUGUGGCUCAGUGGUAGAGUGUUUACCUAGCACAUACGAGGCCCUGGGUUUAAUCCUCAGCACCA